UCAAGGAGGAGAGAUCAUGAAGAUGUCUAUAGUCGUAGUUGUAGCCCUCAUUGUCAUGGCCUCCGGUAUCGAUUUGUCAAUUGGAUGUGGAUCAUGCACUGACAGCGAAUGCGAAUACCACAGUUUGGGAAACGGUCAUGACUGGUGCACUGGAGCGGGCUGUCAUUUACAAAAAGAAGGGA